rnacentral:rRNA from 1 species
AACGAACGCUGGCGGCAUGCCUAACACAUGCAAGUCGAACGAGACCUUCGGGUCUAGUGGCGCACGGGUGCGUAACGCGUGGGAACCUGCCCUUAGGUUCGGAAUAACUCCCCGAAAGGGGUGCUAAUACCGGAUAAUGUCUUCGGACCAAAGAUUUAUCGCCUUUGGAUGGGCCCGCGUUGGAUUAGCUAGUUGGUAGGGUAAAAGCCUACCAAGGCGACGAUCCAUAGCUGGUCUGAGAGGAUGAUCAGCCACACUGGGACUGAGACACGGCCCAGACGCCUAGGGGAGGCAGCGGUGGGGAAUAUUAGACAAUGGGGGAACGCCUGAGCCAGCAGUGCCGCGGGAGUGAUGAAGGGUUUAGGGUUGUAAAGCUCUUUUACCCGGGGUGAUAAUGACAGUACCGGGAGAAUAAGCGCCGGCUAACUCCGUG